rnacentral:rRNA from 1 species
AUUGAACGCUGGCGGCAUGCUUUACACAUGCAAGUCGAACGGCAGCGCGGGCUUCGGCCUGGCGGCGAGUGGCGAACGGGUGAGUAAUGCAUCGGAACGUGCCCAGUAGUGGGGGAUAGCCCGGCGAAAGCCGGAUUAAUACCGCAUACGACCUGAGGGUGAAAGCGGGGGACCGAAAGGCCUCGCGCUAUUGGAGCGGCCGAUGUCGGAUUAGCUAGUUGGUGGGGUAAAGGCUUACCAAGGCGACGAUCCGUAGCUGGUCUGAGAGGACGACCAGCCACACGGGGACUGAGACACGGCCCAGACUCCUACGGGAGGCAGCAGUGGGGAAUUUUGGACAAUGGGGGCAACCCUGAUCCAGCCAUGCCGCGUGCGGGAAGGAGGCCUUCGGGUUGUAAACCGCUUUUGUUCGGGAAGAAAUCCUCUGGGCUAAUACCCCGGGGGGAUGACGGUACCGGAAGAAUAAGCACCGGCUAACUACGUG